CUCUUAACUGAUUAUGUCUGGAUAUUGUAGUCUACUAUGUACACAUGCAUCUCAUAAACUAACAGCAAUUUUAUAGAAUUUUAGGCAUGCAAGUGAGAUAGAAAGAGUAAAUAUUUGCACGCAAUUUUUAUUUUUAUUUAUUUAUUUAUUAUUAUUAUUAUUAUUUUGUGGCUAAACUUGAAUUAUCCUUUGACAACCUUACUAAUUGGAAGGGGCUUAGUGAAAUGAAAUCAUGUGUUUGAGAAUCAACUAGUAGGUAGCAAGUGCAUGUACUCCUACUUUAAUGACUCCCUAGUGGCGAGGAAGUUUAGAUUCCCCAUUGGAUGGUCCUCCAAUUGCGUGUUCCGACUAAUUGUAUCUUUCUUGUGCAUAGGAUGUCUUAUUCUGUGUCUUCCUUUUUCCAGGUUAGAUGUAGACCUAAUUACUUUUAUCUUUAUGUUACUAAUUGCUAUUUUUCUCCUUGUGUUUUUGAUUCUUUAGGAUAUCAUGCUUAUCUGCAUCUUAUGCCUUUUCUUCAUUGGAUACUAAAGCUUUUAGCUGCGUUGCUAUCAAGCUAAAUGAUAAUUUCAAGACCACGGCAGUUGUUUGAAAAGAGUAGAAAGUGAACGUCCCCCAACAUCGAAGGAUAAUGCCUAUGAAAAGUUAUUUGAUAAUCAAACUCUACCGAAUAGCUUGACUAUGUAGAAGUAAUAAGCCUUUUUGUUGAAUUAAUCCUUUACAUGGACUCUUUUGGUGAAACAAAGUAAAAUGACAGGAGAAGUUUUUGGACCAAACAUGGGUGCAGUGACAGCAGAUGAGGAGUGUGUGCUAAUAUUCAAGCUACACUAUCUAUAAAAUCCUGCUUACAUAAUAUUCACACUAAAUUCUGGAAUUUUGAAUCUCACUAGGUUAACUUACAUGAUAAUUGCUUGAAUUCUCACCAUAGUUCCGGAGUAUUCUAAUACAUUUCUUUGUUCAAGAUGUUCAUUUGCAAUUGAAGGGUUUUCUUCUUUCAGCUCUAAUAUCCAUUGAAACUAAUGGCGCUUUGAAUGAAGGCUGAUUGAUG
rnacentral:lncRNA from 1 species